UUGUUCAAUGGCUGCACAAUUGUCCUUUCUCUUUCCAAGGACCUCUGUAUGGGUGUGUCCUUCAUUCAGUGCCUUUCCUCUGUGGGUUUGUCCUGCUAGCCCCCUGUCACUGAGAAAGUCUUCUGUCUGUCCUUGGGUUGUCUGGCUAGAACACAGACAUCAUUGUCUUUUUUUUUUUUUUUUUUUUUUUUUAAAGAUUUAUUUAUAUGUAAGUACACUGUAGCUGUCUUCAGACACUCCAGAAGAGGGAGUCAGAUCUCGUUAGGAUGGUUGUGAGCCACCAUGUGGUUGCUGGGAUUUGAACUCCAGACCUUCGGAAGAGCAGUCGGGUGCUCUUACUCACUGAGCCAUCUCACCAGCCCCGACAUCAUUGUCUUGCCCACGACUGCUCUCCAGAAUGGUGGGCAGGAGGAUGUGACCCCCCACCCCCAGGCACCGGGACACAACAUCUUCUACACGUGUAGGUCUUGUGCACUGGCUUUGCUUUCUUCUUCCAAGCAGGUCUCCCAGGAAAUGGCACUUACAGAGAUUGAAGAGUUUAAUACAUGUCUCGCUGCCUCUCUUUUCGGGAACCCCCCAGAGGGAGCAGCAGAAACCAGGGCUGGCAGGGGCUCUAAGCUGCCUGGGCAAAGGAGCAGGGGGUAGCAUGGAGCCUUAGCCAAUUUGGAAAGCACUGUGACCCAAGCACAUUUUGCAGCAGUAAUGUCAAAUUCUGCCGUUCAGGCAUGCCAUUGAUGUGCACGCUGCCACACAGAAACCAGUGACACAAAGGCACAGCCUUCUCCACCCUCCUGGUGCUUAGGAACUAACGGCUCUAAUGAGAAAUGAGAGCUGAAAGGAGAGAGACGGGGGCGGGCCACAGCAGCGCAGGCUGGCACUGCGUGUUGGAGGAGGCUGACCCACUUCUCGUAGAGAACCUCAUGUAGCCAGGAAAGGCCCUAAGCUUUGGGACUCCUGAUCCUCCUGCCACCACGUUCUGGAAUACAGGCAUGUGCUGCCACGCCCUGCAAACAGGGAUGCAGGUUUCUGAGCAUCCAUCCUUCCCAGGAGCUUUUCCAGACUUGCCUCCAGCCUAGGAGCCUUGUGAAGCCAACUGCCACUCCCCACAAACGAUAGCAAAUUGAGUGCACCUGGAACCUGAUGGUGUUUGUUUUUUGAGAUGGAAGAUAUUGAGCCUGUUCGCAUGCCAACAAGCAGGAUUCAGGAGGAGAGGAACUGUCAGAGAGAAACUGAGACAGCCUGAAAGGGCAGCGAAUAGAGGGAGAUCUGAGGCAUACCUGCUCCCAGUAAUGGGGGACCAUGACACCUACAGGGACGACAUUACAGUGAGCACUGGCAAGUUCUACUUUCCCCAGGAAGCAGGGGACCCUCCACUGAGGUUGGAGGAAGAGACGAGGGUGGGAGGCAAAAGAGAGAAAGACACAGACAUCUGGCGGUGUGGGCGAGCAAGCUAGUCUUCGAGGGCCCUCUGCAGGAGGGUGGAACCUAUCAGGAGCUCCAGCCAGCCUGGUCUUGGGACUUUCUCCAGUGAUGUCAGCUAUUGGGUGUGGCAAGAGGCAGGGAAGGGACACCCAGGGGUGGGGUUUCCAGUGAGUGUGCAUCGUAAAUUUGAAAGUAUUUGCAAACAUGCCUUUCUAAUCCCAUCGCCCAUCCUCGGUCCCAAAGCUUCCUGCCUCUUGUUGGACUCUUGGUGCUCUGCCUCCUGUUCUAGGACGAAUGAUAGCUGGGUUCGUCAGGCCUCAGUCCUCAUGCCUGUCCUUGCUGAACCUUCAAUAGUUCCUUCGUUUAUAUAGAGCUGUAUAAAAUUUAAAUAAAAUUUUUAUUUAAA